GGGGGUAUACCUCAGUGGUAGAGCGCAUGCUUAGCAUACACGUGUCCUGGGUUCAAUGCCCAGUACGGCCA
rnacentral:tRNA from 1 species